CAAUAGCGUAUACUAACGUUGUUGCAGUUAAAAAGCUCGUAGUUGGAUUUCGGGUGGGACGCAGCGGUCUCGCAUUGCGUUUGUACUGCUGCAGCCCUCCUUCUUGCCGGGGGCGGCCUCUCGGACUUCACUGUCUGGGGGUCAGAAUCGGCGAUGUUACUUUGAGUAAAUUAGAGUGUUCAAAGCAAGCCUUCGCUCUGAAUAUAAUAGCAUGGGAUAACACGACAGGACUCUGGCCUAUCGUGUUGGUCUGUAGGACCGGAGUAAUGAUUAAGAGGAACAGUCGGGGGCAUUCGUAUUCCAUUGUCAGAGGUGAAAUUCUUAGAUUUAUGGAAGACGAACAUCUGCGAAAGCAUUUGCCAAGGAUGUUUUCAUUGA
rnacentral:rRNA from 1 species